rnacentral:rRNA from 1 species
AGCUCACUUAGCAUAUAUUAUUAAUGCUGCAGUUAAAACGUUCGUAGUCGUAUUACAUGUAUAGUCUGUUGCGUUCAUAUAUCUUGAUAUAUCAUAUUUUGAUAUGUGUCCGCGCCGAUACAACGGCAAUUAAGAAGGCGUAGUAAUAACGUCAAUCAUAUUUGUUGCUGUACUUUGAGUGAUUCGGCAUGCUCAAAAUCUGUGAGAUGAUUAGCCAUAACGACUCACCAAAGCAUAAUCUUAAGUUUUGAGAUAAGUAUAUGUUUAAAAAAUAUAUGGGAUUGGCCAAGGGGGUUGGUACUUAGUUGUUAGAGGUGAAAUUCUUUGACCAAUUGAUGACCGGCAGUUGCGCGAGCUUUCUCCAGGCAUAUUUCCU